rnacentral:rRNA from 1 species
AACGAACGCUGGCGGCAUGCCUAACACAUGCAAGUCGAACGAGACCUUCGGGCUUAGUGGCGCACGGGUGCGUAACGCGUGGGAACCUGCCCUUAGGUUCGGAAUAACUCCCCGAAAGGGGUGCUAAUACCGGAUAAUGUCUUCCGACCAAAGAUUUAUCGCCUUUGGGUGGGCCCGCGUUGGAUUAGCUAGUUGGUAGGGUAAAAGCCUACCAAGGCGACGAUACAUAGCUGGUCUGAGAGGAUGAUCAGCCACACUGGGACUGAGACACGGCCCAGACUCCUACGGGAGGCAGCAGUGGGGAAUAUUGGACAAUGGGCGAAAGCCUGAUCCAGCAAUGACGCGUGAGUGAUGAAGGCCUUAGGGUUGUAAAGCUCUUUUACCCGGGAUGAUAAUGACAGUACCGGGAGAAUAAGCUCCGGCUAACUCCGUG